CUGAUAGAACCCUUCAGUUUAGCUACGAGCCAGAAAGCUAACGCUAUGAACGUGGGGGCUUCAGAGGGAGCCGAGGGGGCACCGCGGAGGAUACGGCCCUGGAAAGAUGGACGCAAGGGGUGACGACAGACAGGAGCGGCGGGGCCGUCCCUACUAAAUCAUCCUCCAUAGGACAAAUUCUCCCCUGUCCCACCUCCAGUAGAAAGACCAUUGUGUGUCCCCUGUCCAUACACCUUCCACCUUUUAAAUUACUCUGUUAACUUUGAUCCUUUACAUUCAGUGUGUAGAAAAAUGUGACUAUCCCUGUUUUUGUGUUUGCUCUUGUUCAUGUGACUCGUUGACGUCCAUCCGUAGUUCCUUCGUCUGCUCAGUGAGGUCUCAUUGCACACAACUCUUCAAUUGUCAUUGGGCAACAUCUAUAAUAACCUUGUAAUUCAAGUGUUCUGAGAAAAACUGGACUUUUAUGCUUUGUUUUCAGGCUUUAGAAAAUGUAGCCCAUGGAAAAAAAGAAGUCUAAAAGAGAGUCACUAAUAGUUUAGCAUUCUGCUAACCGUAGCCAAAGGCCCACAGCUGCAGCUGAUUUAAGCUAAUGUUUUUGAAGCUAGCUACAGUAUAACCUAGAAUCACAGUAUGUCAUAUCAAAGGGCUUUACAAAGAAAACAGUACAGUAAUUCUCAGAAUUGUUGCAAGAUAACAACAUUCAUCAGGAUGAAGUUAGUCUUGCUAUCUCCACAGCGCUGUGGCAGCGUCUCCAAUAGUGGAGAUAGCGAGAGGGGGGGGCUUUAUCACUACAAUGUGAGGACAAAGAGGGGGGGAAGCUUCAGAAUGAUGGCUGGAUCUGCUGAUUUUUUUGGUGCCUUUUCCAGAAAACUGCCUACCCCAGCUUUAACACAAGCUUUCAGAAACGUUUCAGACAAGUCUAAGCACAUUAUCUAAACCACUUAAUACAUGUGCAGGGAGAUUAUGUUUCAGGUCUCAUUUCAGUCUCAGAUUUAAAAGAAAUGUCUAGAAAUUCUUCUCUUUGGUGUGCAUUCAUUAAAGUUUUAAAAUGAAUUCCUAAAAUUCUAAAAUAAUAAAUUUGUCAACAUUAUUAUUAAUUUGGCAUGACCUGCUGUACUUACUAAUUUAUUAUUAAAAUAAAUCUAGAAGAUUGAAGCUGUUCUAGUUUGGAAAUGGAAACAAAAGUGAAUGUUGCUUUUAACAUCAGAGCUUGUACUACUGUUAACAUAGAGAACAGAUUAAAAGUAAUGGAUGAUUAUAACUUUAUGUUUUAUACAUGUUUUUGUGUUUUCCCUGUCUGGUAGCUUGUGUUGUAAAUGUGUAGCUGUCAUUGUUGCUACAUGCUUAGAUGUCAGCUGUGGAAACAAGUUAAGCUGGUGCUGCAACGGUUUACAGUCAAGAAAACCAAACCAGAAAAUCGGUUUGCUUUUUACAGUCAGUGACUUCAGUCACUUGUCAAAAACUCAUUGCAACCGUCACAUUGUUUCUAAGUAAUGGGUCAAGUUUAAGUCCUCGGAAUUCUAAGAAAUGUUGAGUAUCUUGAUUCUUUGAGAUGUCAAACAUGUUGUUAUUAGCUUUAAUGAUCUCAUUUGUAGAACGACUUUUAUCUCACCAGCAUUUUUAUGAUCUGAGGCAUUAACCUUUUGUCUGACUGCCACUCCUGUUUAGAACUUGGCACACUGUUUAAGUUCAAAGAAGAGACUGAUUUUUAAUUAUCGUAUCAUCAACAAGUUAGUUGUAGGUGUCUUUUAUGUCAGGUAAACGAGUACAGCUGUUGCCCUGACAACGAACGUGUCCUAAAUCCACUUUAUGGAAGGGGUCCAAUUUAAAAGGUGUUGCAUUCUGGCACAACAACUAGCUAUGUGCAGUUAAAACCCCAAAACUUAAUGUUCUAUUUUUUUAUUAUUUUCAACUGAAGAACUGUCAGUGUAGGGUCCUUAUAUAAUAAUGACCAUAAUAAUGACCUUUAUAGUAUCUUCAAGCUGGAGCUUCUUCAGCUGCAGUUCCUCUAAUGGCCACAAAAAGAACAUCUAGGAACUUUUCUCUCCCAAUGAUGUGGUUUUAAAAACUGUAUAUAAAAAAAAUAUUGAGAGUG